rnacentral:lncRNA from 1 species
GAGCAAACAUGAUGGCCCCUUUAUGAGAGGUAAUUUACUGAAAUGCACAGCGAUUACCUGCUCACCCAGCCCUGAUGUAAUUAAAAAUGGCAGGCUAGGGGCUCUGUUUCCCCCGGCUCUGGCAGAGAAACCUGGGUUUCGACUUGUGAAGCUUGAGGUUGGAUGUGGGAAUUGGCUUGGAGUCAUAGGCGAUGAGAGGGACAUUAGGAUAUUAUGAAGCCCGUGAACUCAACUCCUGAGAAGGACGCAGCAGAGCGAGAGAAAAGAUCUUGGGUGGUGUUUAUCAACCCUGAGUAAUCGUUUCUUUGUCUGCAAGAUGGAAUAAAAAGGCCUACCUCAUUGGGCUCGUGUGGGUGAGGAGAACUGAAGAGUCUGAGAGCGCGGCACGAGCCAGAGGCUACGGAAAACACUGCCCUCCUACACUCCACCUUGGAGAGACCCAGAAAAGAACAAGCUUCAUUUGUAAAAAAGGAAAACAACUCAGGCAAUGGGGGUGGCUUAAAGGCACUCUACAGUGUGCAGAUGCCUUCCACUUCUUCCAUCUGCCCUGUCUCUCCAAGAACCCCUAUGGCCCCGGUCUCAGAACAGAGCUGAGUGCAGAAAUGAAAAUCUAUGGCUCUGUGUUCCAAAACGAUGAAGAAUUUCAAGAUGGUGGCAGUGGUAAAAUCUUUCUCCAGGAAAAAUCUGUCCUUGGCCCAAUGUGUAAACACUUGCUGAGGAACUUGGAAUAACUUGCAGUGUCUUGCAGUAUUGUGAAACCAGCAACUUGUUCACAAUUCUUCUGAAUUUCUUGGGAAAUUUGAAGUGGAGUACCUGUACCAACAUGAAAUGACACGAAUUUAAGUGACGCUCAACAACGAAAAGCAAAAAGAACCAAAGAGGAAGCAACUGAAACAACAUCUGGAUGUAUUUAAAAAUAUACAAUGCCUCCAAAAUCAGGUGUCAUUAAUGAAAAUUCUGAAGAAAUGCCACCGGACAUAGCCAACGCACCUACGCUGUUGUUAUUCAUUUCCUGCUUUUCACAGAAAACAAUUUUGUUGCAUGGAAGAUCGUGAACUUCAAAGGGCAGAGGGGAAACUGUCCCUUGGCCUCUACCCCUCCAAGGCCCCACUUUUUUGUCAACACUCCUUGGACGCAGCAGAAGUAUGAACAUAAUAUGGUCCUGAAUGAGGCUGAGUCUUUGGGCGCAGAAGACCCGGGUUAAUAAAAAUAGGAAGGUAAGAAAAGAAAAGAAAAA